UACGGGGGGGGCAAGCGUUGUUCGGAAUUACUGGGCGUAAAGGGCUCGUAGGUGGCCAACUAAGUCAGACGUGAAAUCCCCAGGCUUAACCUGGGAACUGCGUCUGAUACUGGAUGGCUUGAAUUCGGGAGAGGGAUGCAGAAUUCCAGGUGUAGCGGUGAAAUGCGUAGAUAUCUGGAGGAACACCGGUGGCGAAGGCGGCAUCCUGGACCAACACUGACGCUGAGGAGCGAAAGCCAGGGGAGCAAACGGG
rnacentral:rRNA from 1 species